AGUGAACGCUGGCGGUAGGCCUAACACAUGCAAGUCGAACGGCAGCACAGUAAGAGCUUGCUCUUACGGGUGGCGAGUGGCGGACGGGUGAGGAAUACAUCGGAAUCUACUUUUUCGUGGGGGAUAACGUAGGGAAACUUACGCUAAUACCGCAUACGACCUACGGGUGAAAGCAGGGGAUCUUCGCACCUUGCGCGAUUGAAUGAGCCGAUGUCGGAUUAGCUAGUUGGCGGGGUAAAGGCCCACCAAGGCGACGAUCCGUAGCUGGUCUGAGAGGAUGAUCAGCCACAUGGGAGCUGAGACACGGUCCAGACUCCUACGGGAGGCAGCAGUGGGGAAUAUUGGACAAUGGGCGCAAGCCUGGUCCAGCCAUACCGCGUGGGUGAAGAAGGCCUUCGGGUUGUAAAGCCCUUUUGUUGGGAAAGAAAAGCAGCAGGUUAAUACCCCGCUGUUCUGACGGUACCCAAAGAAUAAGCACCGGCUAACUUCGUG
rnacentral:rRNA from 1 species